UAGUUGCUUUUUUCUUACUGAUUGUCGCGGCUGA
rnacentral:sRNA from 1 species